rnacentral:rRNA from 1 species
AUCAGUCCUUCGGGACUGAGGACAGCGGCGAACGGGUGAGUAACACGUGGGUAAUCUGCCCUCGAUUCUGGGAUAGCCCGGGGAAACCCGGAUUAAUACCGGAUAGCCUCUCGAGCUUUCGAGCUCGUGAGAAAAGGUAGCUUCGGCCUCCGAUCGAGGAUGAGCCCGCGGCGGAUUAGCUUGUUGGUGGGGUAACGGCCCACCAAGGCGACGAUCCGUAGCUGGUCUGAGAGGACGAUCAGCCACACUGGGACUGAGACACGGCCCAGACUCCUACGGGAGGCAGCAGUGGGGAAUCUUGCGCAAUGGGCGAAAGCCUGACGCAGCGACGCCGCGUGGGGGAAGAAGGCCUUCGGG